rfam:Tinamus guttatus contig67874, whole genome shotgun sequence.
CUGGGUUACGGGGACAUGUACCCCAUGACGUGGUCCGGGAUGCUGGUGGGCGCGCUGUGCGCGCUGGCCGGCGUCCUCACCAUCGCCAUGCCGGUGCCCGUCAUCGUCAACAAC